AUGCAUCUCUGACAGACCUGGAGCAGUUAGUCUGCUGCUAAGGUUUCCACUACGGAUGCAAGAAAAAGAAGGUCCUCACACUUUCUGUCUAGCUGGUUGUGGCAGCCAAGAUUGAAUGGGGAAUAUAGGA
rnacentral:snoRNA from 1 species